CCUGCUUACCUCAUAGGUGUUUCUUCCUUGUUGACAUAGGAUGUCAGGUAGAAUGGUCAUCUUGUGACCAGGAGAUGACAAGAAGGAGAACAAGGCUAAUAUGCCAAGGAUGAAAGAGUGGAAAGAUGGAAAGAGCACAGGUCAUCAUCUGGACUCUCAAUCACAAGAAAUGCAAGUUCUGAAAAAGUUCUCAAAAGGAAUAGGUCCCUUCUGAAGCCACAAACCGGGCUUUUCUCAGAGAAGAUGGCUGCAACUUUGCUGCUGAGUUUCAGGCCAAGAAAACAGUGGAGCUUCCCGAACUCUCAAUGACCAGUGAUGCACCUUGGAUUUUUUCAUGGCUUGAAUGUUUGUCUCCUCCAAAACUCAUGCUGAAAUUUAAUUGCCAUUGUGAUGGUAUUGGGAAGUGGGACUUUUAAGAAGUGAUUGGUCAUGAGGGCUCGCCCUCAUGAAUGGACUAAUGCCAUCACCGUAGGAGUGCGUUUGCUAUGGCAGGAAUAAGUUCACUCCUUCUUGCUCUCUCUCUCUGUCUCUCUUCCUCCUGCCCCACCCCCGACCUUUCUUCCCGUAACCAUUGCCCUUUCAUCAUGUGAUGCCAUCUGCCAUGUUACGAUGCAGCCAUAAGGCCCUGACCAGAUGCUGGCAACUUGAUAUUGAACUUCCCAGGGUCCAGAACCAUGAGCCUAAACAUUUCUAUUCAUUAUAAAUUACCCAGUCUCAGGUAUUCUGUUAUAGAAGCACAAAACAGAUGAAGACAGGUUCCAGUGGUUUUACACCCAUCUUUCUAUCAAUCACCUUCUUCCUGAGGAUUUGAUAAAGAUGAUGUGUUAGGCUGGGCAUCCCAAAUUUCUUUCCAUUGUGGUUGAAGAACAUACUUUGCAUGAUUUCAAUCCUUUUAAUUUAUUGAGGUAUGUUUUAUGGCCUAAUAUCUGGUCAAUCCUGGACAAUGUUCCAUGUUCACUUGAAAAGAAUGUCUAUUCUCCUGCUGUUAGAUGAAAUGUUCUGUAUAUGUCUGUUAGGCCUAGAGCUUUCAUAGUGCUAUUCAAGUCUUCUUAUUUCCUU
rnacentral:lncRNA from 1 species